UUAACAAAAACAUGUCCUUUUGAUUAUAAUUUAAGGUCUAAUCUGCCCACUGAGUAAUUAAAUGGCCGCGGUAUUUUGACCGUGCAAAGGUAGCAUAAUAAUUAGUUUCUUAAUUAGAAGCUGGAAUGAAAGAUUGAAUGAGAAAAUAACUGUCUCAAGUUAAUUUAAUUAGAAUUUUAUUUUUAAGUUAAAAAGCUUAAAUUUUAUUAAAAGACGAGAAGACCCUAUAGAGUUUUAUUAGAAUUUAUAUUAAAAAUACAUAGAUUAAAAUAUUUUAAAUAUAAAUUUUAAUUUUGUUGGGGUGACAAAAAAACUAAAUUAACUUUUUUUAUAUAAAAACAUUAAUAAAUGAUUUUUUGAUCCAAUUUUAUUGAUUAAAAGAUAAAAUUACCUUAGGGAUAACAGCGUAAUUUUUUUUGAGAGUUCUUAUCGAAAAAAAAGAUUGCGACCUCGAUGUUGGAUUAAAGUUAAAUUUUGGUGUAGAAGCUAAAAAUUUUAGGUCUGUUCGACCUUUAAAACUUUACAUGAUCUGAGUUCAGAC
rnacentral:rRNA from 1 species